rnacentral:rRNA from 1 species
GCCCGCAAAGGGCUGAAACUUAAAAGGANUUGGCCGGGGGGGCCACUACCAACGGGUGGAGCCUGCGGUUUAAUUGGAUUCAACGCCGGGAAGCUUACCGGGGGAGNCAGCGGGAUGAAGGUCGGGCUGAAGACCCUACCAGACUAGCUGAGAGGUGGUGCAUGGCCGCCGUCAGUUCGUACUGUGAAGCAUCCUGUUAAGUCAGGCAACGAGCGAGACCCGCGCCCUCAGUUGCCAGCGGAUCGCUUUUGCGAUGCCGGGCACACUGGGGGGACUGCCGGCGCUAAGCCGGAGGAAGGUGCGGGCAACGGCAGGUCCGUAUGCCCCGAAUCCCCCGGGCUACACGCGGGCUACAAUGGACGGGACAAUGGGUACCGACCCCGAAAGGGAUAGGUAAUCUCCUAAACCCGGUCUAACCUGGGAUCGAGGGCUGCAACUCGCCCUCGUGAACCUGGAAUCCGUAGUAAUCGCGCCUCAAAAUGGCGCG